GGGGUAGUAAUGGUAUCGACAUAUAUUACUACAUAUGACGGCAAGUGGUUUGGCACCUUAAGCCUACAAUUAAAAUUAAAUGACAAGAGUGAAAACUCAUUUGCUUCAAAUGCUUAUGCAUUUGCCUAAUUAAUUAAUAGAUAGGAAUAGCAAGCUUCUCUUAAUUUUGCUUAUAGGAUUAUGAGGGGUUCAUAAAUAUAAGAUAUACUUAUUUACUUGUUUAGGAUAAAUAAGCGAAUAUUUACUAAACUUAGGAUUAUAAUCGGUUGGUCUUGAGCCAGUUGUAAUCUGAAAUUAAAAUCAAGCUAAACUUGUAGAUGUUAUAUGAUAGGAUAUAUUGGACAGGAGUUCGACUCUCCUCUACUCCACCA
rnacentral:tmRNA from 1 species